rnacentral:rRNA from 1 species
CGUAGGGGCUAGCGUUGUCCGGAAUCACUGGGCGUAAAGGGUUCGCAGGCGGCAAUGCAAGUCAGAUGUAAAGGCAUAGGCUUAACCUAUGUAAGCAACUGAAACUGUAUAGCUUGAGAAGUGUAGAGGCAAGUGGAAUUUUUAGUGUAGCGGUGAAAUGCGUAGAUAUUAAAAGAUACCGGUGGCGAAGGCGACUUGCUGGGCACAAUCUGACGCUGAGGAACGAAAGCGUGGGGAGCAAACAGGAUU